rnacentral:lncRNA from 1 species
UCCAUGCAUGUGGCUCCAAAGGAAGCUGACCCCACUCUAAACCAUGCUGCCAACAAAGUGCUCCAAAAAAAAAAAAAAAAAAAAAAAAAAGACUUAAGCCAAAAUGAGGGUCUACAAUUACAUUUGUGAACUACACUUUCAACCUUAUUUCCAUCACUCUAACAAACUCAUCAAAUCUAAACUUUCAUAUUCGGUAAACUUAACAAUUAUAAAAAUAAAAGUUAAUUUCAUUCAAAGUCUUAUUUAUGGCCUAAUUUUCCAUAUUUGAUCAAGAACCCAUAUAGCAUUACUAUGUGCCACCUCAUAGCCUAGCUCAGCCAUCUUAGAGUACAAGAGGAACGCCUUCCCCACAUCACUUUUUAGGUAUGACUCCAAUGCCCAUCUAUACAAACAGAGAGCAAUGACAUGAUUAUCAAAUAUUCGACUCAAAAAUAGUUCAUGCAUCAAUUGGUUACAAGAGAAACCAAAGAAACCAAAAUGGAACCAAAAUAGAUCAAGUUUGUGAGCAGUCAAUUCUAGCAAAACAAUCAAGUGGUCCUUGAUGUCCACACCAAUCAACAAAUCAAAGCUUAGAAAAACAGCAGAAAAGACACGGUGAUUACCGUAACCUCACAUGGAGAUCUCCCUCAAACUGUCUUCGUCAUGCUCUGUUUUUCUGUUCCAGUUUAUUUCUUUGCAAAACCUUUUUUUUUUUUUUUUUUUUCUCAAAGGCUCCUCACCCCAUCAUAUCUUCCUCUCUCAAGCUAUCCUUCCCGAUCUAUUUGAAAAGCUCACCCCUCACCCAUUCCACUGUUCCUUAUCUCAUUCUCUGUCAUCCCUUGAGAACCAAUUCCAUCUCAACCACCACCAUGGCGAGGUGGUGGUGUGUUAUUGGCCAUGCGUCCAUGCAUGUGGCUCCAAAGGAAGCUGACCCCACUCUAAACCAUGCUGCCAACAAAGUGCUCCAGAAAAAAAAAAAAAAAAAAGACUUAAGCCAAAACGAGGGUCUACAAUUACAUUUGUGAACUACACUUUCAACCUUAUUUCCAUCACUCUAACAAACUCAUCAAAUCUAAACUUUCAUAUUCGGUAAACUUAACAAUUAUAAAAAUAAAAGUUAAUUUCAU